rnacentral:rRNA from 1 species
CCUACGGGGGGCAGCAGUGAGGAAUAUUGGUCAAUGGACGAGAGUCUGAACCAGCCAAGUAGCGUGAAGGAUGACUGCCCUAUGGGUUGUAAACUUCUUUUAUAUGGGAAUAAAACGUUCCACGUGUGGGAUUUUGUAUGUACCAUAUGAAUAAGGAUCGGCUAACUCCGUGCCAGCAGCCGCGGUAAUACGGAGGAUCCGAGCGUUAUCCGGAUUUAUUGGGUUUAAAGGGAGCGUAGGUGGAUUGUUAAGUCAGUUGUGAAAGUUUGCGGCUCAACCGUAAAAUUGCAGUUGAAACUGGCAGUCUUGAGUACAGUAGAGGUGGGCGGAAUUCGUGGUGUAGCGGUGAAAUGCUUAGAUAUCACGAAGAACUCCGAUUGCGAAGGCAGUUCACUGGACUGCAACUGACACUGAGGCUCGAAAGUGUGGGUAUCAAACAGGAUUAGAGACCCCAGUAGUC